AAUCGGACACUGUAGGUACAGUAGUGCCGAAGUGGUUAGCAGUAUAAUAAAGUAACCAGACAUUGCCGGUCCAGCAGUGUAGAUGGCAGGAGCAGUGUAUAACCAGAACCGGGCAUUGCAGAUCCAGCAGUGCUGUAGGUAAGAGGGGGUCACCCUCAGUGUGGUAUCAUAGAGGUCUGUACACCCAGCAGUGUAGUCAGCGAGAGGGGGUCACCCUCAUUAUGGUUAUAACGGGACCUUGUAGGUCCAGCAGAGUAGUCCACAGGAGGGGGUCACCCUCAGUAUCUGCGUAUUGCAGGGCACUGUAAGAACAGAAGCUCAAUCAGUGGGAGGGGUACCCUCUUUUAUGGGAAUACCGGGACGCUGCAGGUUCAGCAGUGCAGACUGCAGGAGGGGUACCCCCUCGGUAUGAUAAUAGCAGGACAUUGCCGGAGCAUUAGUAUAGGAAGCAGGAGGGGGUCAUCCUCAGCAUUAAUCUUACAGGACGCCGUAGAGCCAGCAGGGUACUCAUAGGUAGCCAUGUUGCCAGAGGGAGGGGGUCACCCAGCCCACAAUGGUGUCACACGUCCAUUAUUAUGGUCCAGUAGCGGGUAGAGCCUCAGAAAUAUGGAUUGGGGGGGGGGGGUUCACCCCCCAGUAAUAACAGGUCUGAAUGUGGGGCCAGUAGCCCCCCUGAGGGGUAGGAGGGUCCAUAUAGCGAGAAGCUGGCUCACAGACCACUCAGGUAUUAUAUUAGGAUACACUUUUGAAGUGUAUGUAUAGUGGAAAAUUUAAGUCCCUUGCAGGAAGGGCAGCAAAUCCUAGGCAGGGGAGCUAGGUGCUGAAAAACAGG